CCAGACUCCUACGGGAGGCAGCAGUGGGGAAUAUUGCACAAUGGGGGAAACCCUGAUGCAGCGACGCCGCGUGAGUGAAGAAGUAUUUCGGUAUGUAAAGCUCUAUCAGCAGGAACGAGACAAGACGGUACCUGACUAAGAAGCCCCGGCUAACUACGUGCCAGCAGCCGCGGUAAUACGUAGGGGGCAAGCGUUAUCCGGAAUCACUGGGUGUAAAGGGAGCGUAGGCGGAUUUUUAAGUCAGCGGUAAAAUGUCCGGGCUCAACCCGGGCCGGCCGUUGAAACUGGGGAUCUUGAGUGGGCGAGAAGUAUGCGGAAUGCGUGGUGUAGCGGUGAAAUGCAUAGAUAUCACACAGAACUCCGAUUGCGAAGGCAGCAUACCGGCGCCCGACUGACGCUGAGGCACGAAAGCGUGGGGAUCGAACAGGAUUAGAUACCCUUGUACA
rnacentral:rRNA from 1 species